rnacentral:rRNA from 1 species
UAGGGAAUCUUCCACAAUGGACGAAAGUCUGAUGGAGCAACGCCGCGUGAGUGAAGAAGGUUUUCGGAUCGUAAAGCUCUGUUGUUGGUGAAGAAGGAUAGAGGCAGUAACUGGUCUUUAUUUGACGGUAAUCAACCAGAAAGCCACGGCUAACUACGUGCCCA